AUUGAACGCUGGCGGCAGGCUUAACACAUGCAAGUCGAACGAGUGGCGGACGGGUGAGUAAUGUCUGGGAAACUGCCUGAUGGAGGGGGAUAACUACUGGAAACUGUAGCUAAUACCGCAUACCAUCAGAUGUGCCCAGAGGGGAUUAGCUAGUUGGUGGGGUAAAGGCUCACCUAGGCGACGAUCCCUAGCUGGUCUGAGAGGAUGACCAGCCACACUGGAACUGAGACACGGCCCAGACUCCUACGGGAGGCAGCAGUGGGGAAUAUUGCACAAUGGGGGCAAGACUGAUGCAGCCAUGCCGCGUGAGUGAAGAAGGCCUUCGGGUUGGAAAGUACUUUCAGCGAGGAGGCGUUACUCGCAGAAGAAGCACCGGCUAACUCCGUGCCAGCAGCCGCGGUAAUAC
rnacentral:rRNA from 1 species